AACGCACAUUGCGCCCCUUGGUAUUCCAUGGGGCAUGCCUGUUCGAGCGUCAUUUGUACCUUCAAGCUCUGCUUGGUGUUGGGUGUUUGUCCCGCCUUUGCGCGUGGACUCGCCUUAAAGCAAUUGGCAGCCGGCGUAUAGAUUUCGGAGCGCAGCACAAAACGCGCUUUGUUAGCAAUACGGUGGCGUCCAGUAAGACUUUUUUUAACUCUUGACCUCGGAUCAGGUAGGGAUACCCGCUGAACUUAA
rnacentral:misc_RNA from 1 species